UACGUAGGGUCCGAGCGUUAAUCGGAAUUACUGGGCGUAAAGCGUGCGCAGGCGGUUUUGUAAGCCAGAUGUGAAAGCCCCGGGCUCAACUUGGGAAUGGCAUUUGGGACUGCAAGGCUGGAGUACGGCAGAGGGAGGUGGAAUUCCACGUGUAGCAGUGAAAUGCGUAGAGAUGUGGAGGAACACCGAUGGCGAAGGCAGCCUCCUGGGCUAGUACUGACGCUCAUGCACGAAAGCGUGGGGAGCAAACAGG
rnacentral:rRNA from 1 species